UCACGUUUAUCUUGUUGGGUUGUUGUGAGUGUAAGAUGAGUGCUUAGCACAGUGCCUGGCACACAGUAAGUACUCGGGAACUCAUUGCUGUUCCUCCUGGCGUGGUUAACAGGGAGGCAUUGGGGGUUUUCCAAACAGACGAGGGAUGUGACGGUAGCAUCUCAGCAAGGUCGCUCAGGCAGCGGUGGGAAAGCAGGUGAGACGGGAGCCAGUUAGGAGGUUGCUGGAAUGAAAAGGGAGGCAGGGGAGGGGGGGGCAUGUGUCCUGGGACCCGGAGCCUCUAGUGCGGCAAACUGCAGUGGCAGGAGGUGUAGCCAUACUCCACCCCUCAAAGGAAGGGCAUGGGGUGUAGAGGAGGAGACCCCAAGCCUGACAGGUAAUAGACACCUAGUGAGGACAGGUGGGGACUACAGCUCAGCCUGACCUGGGCUCCCUCAGCGGCUCACAGCCUCUGCACCCCUGGAAGAUACAGCCAGCCCUGCAUUUCAGACAGCUCUCAUCGUGAGAAGGGGCGGCUUGCCGUUUGCAUGGGUGAUAUACUUUUAAUUAAAAUGGUAAUCAUUUGAGCAUUCCUUAAAGUUUUACUUUGGGAAUUUGCCUUCUUGCCAGCUCUGCCCUAAUUUGCAUUCCCUUUAUCUCUUAUUAAUAAAUUGUAUCUCAGCAGUUUCCUCCACCUCCUUUGAUCACAGAGUUGCAGCAUUUCUGAGCCAAACUCCAUUCCGUGUUGCCAUUCAGGGUGCCGUAGACCCAAACUUGGGGCUUGAGAAUUAGGGUCCUCGACUCCCAACAACAUAGGGACCCAUCUUCUUGCUGCCCAGCUGAGCCGCAGGCAAACAUACAACAGGUGCGCCUCUGAGGUCAAUAGUGCAGGACCCCAUGGGGGCAGACCUUUUUGAGGAAGGACCUAGAUUAGGCAGAUAGGCCCGAGGCAGUGGCCACAGAUAUAUUAGGAAUCCAGGACCAGAACUAGGAAAACAGAAGCAGGAGCUAGUGGGGUAGCUCAUGCUUCAACCCCAGGCUCAGAAAGGUUAAGUAACCUGAUUCGGGUCACAAAUUCAGGUAGUCAAAGGUUAGGGAAUCAACAGAGACUCACAUUUACUGGGUAUGUACCAUGUACCAAGUCCCACGUUAGGUGCCCUAUGCUCAUGGUCCCUGGUACUAGUCCAAGCCAGCUACGCAGGUGUAGACAAUUUUGUCUCCAGUCUCCAAAAAAGAAAACCAAGUCUUGGUGAAAUUAACCAAUAUCCCUAAAGUUACCCAGCUAGCAAGAGGUCCACUGGCGUUAAAGUCAAGGUCUGUCCAUCAAAGACCUCUCUCAGCUGACUGCACCAUGCUGUCUGCGUUAGAGCCAAGAUCUCCUGGGUUGAACCCCCUGACCUGUCUUUUAAGGUCCCAUCUGGAGGGUGUUGUUAGACCCUUGCUACUCAAGCUGUGGUCCAGGGACCAGUACUAUCAGCUCACUUGGGUUCAUGUUACAGAUGCCGAAUCUCUGUCCCCAAACAACACGUGUGAAGAAUCUGCAUUUUGACAAGACCUUCAGGUUGUUCCAAUACUCACCAAAGUUCGGGAAACAGAUUAGAGAUUUGAUAUUUGUUCCGUACCUACUACAUAUCUGCACCAGCCUGCCAAGGUCAAUGCUAUUACAACUGAACAAACACGGAAAAGGGUUUGUGACUUCUCCCGGGUCUUAUAUGCAGUUAGUGGCAGAAUCCAGAUGUGGGCCCUAGGCGUGGCCCUGACCUGGAUUCUAGAAGCUGAGGUCUGAGAUUAUCCUGUUAUUUUCAGGUUGGUGUCCUUGGACUUCAGGAAGAUGGUAAUGGCUACUGGGAGCCAUUUUUAGCAUUCCUCAAAGCCCAACUGUUAUCUCCUACUUCAUUCUAGUCAGAUCGUAGGGACAUGAGCUCAGGCACAAAUGCCUUUGCUUUUGGCAAGAAUUAUAAUGGGCCAUCCUGGAAACUGGUUAUUUCCUGGGGAGAAGGAGUUUGGAUUGGCAAUCAUACAUGUCCUUGAUUAAUGAAAAAUGGAAACAUAAAUUAAUUACCUUUCAAAAAUUUGACGUGUAUAGGAGACAAUGGCUUUCAAAUUGCAAAGUUCAUAGUGGGGAGGAGAUUAUAAAAGGAGUCCCUAGGGGUUUAGUAACAACUUUUCAUUUGUGUUGAAGAAGAAAGCCCGUGGACCAACGUCACUAACCAUCAGGGAAAUGCAAAUCAAAACCACAAGGAGCUGUCACUUCACACCCAUUGGAAUGGAUAUUAUCAGAAAGACAAGAGAUAACAAGCACUGGAGAGGCUGUGGAGGAAAGGGAACCCUCACACACCCGUUGGUGGGAAUGUAAAUUGGUGCGGCUACUGUGGAAAAUAACUGAUCUGCCCAAGAAGGAGACCUACCCAGAAGGGUUCACAGAGGCUCUUCUCCUACUUGACAAAAAAUAGACCCCUCUCAUCCCAAACCUUAACAGGAUGUUUUGCCCUUGGAUUUCAGGCCACCUGCGGUGUCAAACAAAGGGAUAAAUUGAAAUGCUAGUUUGGAAUGGCCUUUCAUCUUUGGCUGAGCGCCACCACAGACGGGGAGCUCACUCCCUCACUGUGCAGACCUGCCUGCUGCCGGCCACCCCUCAGUUCUUUGACCCCACUUGGAGCUAGGAACGUGUGCCCUUCAAGGAAUGCUCACUAUCUGCCAGACUAUGCCAGGCAUUUCCUGUGCAGGUCUUCUUUCGUCCUCGUAAUAACUCUCUAAGGUAGGUACUCUUAUUAUCCCCACUUUGAAGAAUGAGCAAAACAAGUCACAGAGGGUUCAGGAAGCUGUUCAGGGUCUCACAGGCAGUAAGUGAUGGAGCUGGUGUUUUCCGGAAGGCUCAUUCCUGAGCUUGUAAGCCCGUG